rnacentral:lncRNA from 1 species
AAGAACAGAUGAGUCAGAGGUUUCUGCUUAAUGCUCACUCUUCAAUUCUUUCCCGAGCAAAACCAAGAAUCUUCUUGGGCUAAGCCCCAAUUUGGGGUUCACCUGCCUUGCAGCAACAUGGCACCAAACAUGCGGCAGAAGAGAGAAAACGACAGCAUGAGAGACGGAGAAAGAAAUGGCCAGUUGGCAAGGUGGUACAGCCAAGCAGACAGGCAAGUAAGUGGCCAUACUGCUACUGCCUCAUGUAGGAUCCGGCAGGCUGGUGGGUUAUCAGUCCUCACGUGGGACCCUCCCACCAUGGCAGCUGAGCACAUCCAAGCUGGGGGAUCCUGAAGAGACCUUCACCUGGGUGCCACGUGGAAGAUUGGCCAGCACCAUUUUGACUCCUGUGGAUGGGAAUACCAGAUAAAUGACGUUGUGCCCUUCUCAAUGAUCACGUCAGGAGACACAUGAGCUAGCUGAGGUUUUAUUUUGGACACACAAAAAAGAAAAAA